rnacentral:ncRNA from 1 species
AUAUUAAAAUUUGACUUUGGUUUAAUUUUUAAUUUUUGUUAUUUUAUACAUGUUAGGUUUGUUGUAUAUAUAUAUAUAUAUAUAUAUAUAUAUCGUUAUUAUAUUUAAGUCAUUUAUUUAAUGUUUAUUAUAUUUUAUUUAAUAUAAAUAUAUAGAUGUUUUUAAUUUAAUAUUAAAUGAUUUUGAUAUUAUAUUUUGAUUUUUCAGUAUAUUGAUUUAUACAAUGAAUGGGAGUUUUAUAUAGAAAUUAUAGAUAAUGAUUGGAUAAAUUUGUGCCAGCAUCUGCGGUUAUACAUAUAAUUUUAAUUAAAAUUUUGUGGUUUAAAAUAAAGUGAAAUAAUGUUUGUAUAAGUAGGAAAAAUUAUUAUUAAUUUUAUGGUAAAAUUUUUAAAAUUAAUUUGUAUUUAAAUUUUUUCUUUAUUAUUGAUUCUUUGAAAUUUUGAGAAUAAACUAGGAUUAGAUACCCUAUUAUUUUUAAAAGUAAAAAUUGAUUAUUUUACCUAAGUAUUAUGAAGAUAAGUAAAUUAUUAUAUGUUACUUAGCAAUAUUAUAUAUAUUUAAAACUUAAAAGGUUUGGCGGUUUUACAUAUCCAGUUAGGGGAGUUUGUUAAAAUAAUUUGAUAAUCCACAUUUUAGACUUACUUUUUUUUGAUAUUAUAUAUUAAUAUAACAGUUUAUAUAUUGCUGUCGUCAGUUUAUAUUUUAAGAAUAAAAGGACUAAUUAAAUGUUUUGGUUAUUAUGUCAAGUCAUAAUGUAGCUUAUGAAGAAGAUUUAAUGGACUACUAUAAUUAAUUUUAUUUAAUAUAUCCGGAUAAUAUAAAUUAUAUUUUAUUAGUAAGGUGGACUUAAUAGUAAAUUUAGUAAUUAGUAUGUAUAGUUGAAUAUGGUUUUGUAAGGUGUACAUAUCGCCCGUCACUCUUGUUGUUUAAAUAAGAUAAGUCGUAACAUAGUAGAGGUAAUGGAAAUGUUUCUGGGAAAAUUAUAUGGUU